AAUUGAAGAGUUUGUUACCCCAAUGCUUAAGAGAUAUGGUUAAAGCCCUGUAAGAAAGCAGACAUUCCGCAAUGAUGCGGUUACCUGGCUCCAGUGUACAAGACCAGUGAGCGAAGAGGAAUCCUGUCAACCACUGACCAUUCCACCAACUUUGUCACUGCGAGGACCCUUCCUUCCAACAAACCGCAGGAACACUGGAUCAAACGUUAUUUUGUCAGCUUAAUUCACAAACCUACUGCAACUACUUAGGGUUCCUUUGCUAGAUCACCCAUGAGGAACACAUGUUGGUCCUGAAUGGCUGUAAUAUCAAAAGGUCUGGGAAUAGUGAGGUUCAUCGUGCACGCCACAGGUAAUUCACGAAGAAUUUCACAGACAUCUAUAGAAAGUUCUGAAAGCUGUGCCUGUUUCUCAACUGCAAGGAAAACAUCAAAUAGUACUGACAAAAGCGCUAAGUAAACGCAGACGUGGAAGACGUAAAAAUAAAUCUUCCAAAACACCUUACAGGACCACCAGGCAAGACUAAGAGAUCGCUACUGUCGCUGAUAUUAAGAUAGUAAUCUCGGUGGAAACAGACAAUAGAGCAGAGAUUAUCAGAGCUGAUGACCUUUUAAUGCCUGCAGUGAUUUAACAGUGCCGGUAGCCUUGGGAGACAGGGAGAUCUGCCCUGUGAUCGCUUAUGAAAUACUACCCAAGUUACUCAAGGUAUCCUAUGUGUGAGCAGUGAGCGUGAGGACCUCGGGAAGGUUGGGGAACCCAACACCUGCAACACGGUGCUGCUGGUUCAGGGAAAUUCGGCCCCGUGGGACUGCUGCUCCCCCCCUUCAUCCCUUCCUCAAGCUGGUGUGGGCCGUUUGCAGGCAGGUUUCCUUUGGCCUCUGCCCUCCUGCUGUUUUUCCCUCUCAACGCGAGUAUGAAUGUGCUGCGGACUCAUGGAGCUGGAAGGUGAGUCUGGGCAGAGGAGGUGGCUGGGGACCCCACAGAGGCCGUUCUUCCUGGGCAACCACAGUGACCUCUGCUGUCACCAAGCAAGUCUGAGCACUUGUGCUCUACUGCAGAGGAGAGGUUUUAUUCCAGCUCACCCUGGAGGUCCUCUAUAAUAUACUGAGCACUGUACCUUGCAGAAAUUCUCAUUUGUGGUCAUGUCCCGUAUGCUGCUGGACUUGAAAAAUGCAGCUCCUGGUAUUUGAAGAAAAGCCUCCAGCUGUGCUGGAAUGUGGCAGUGUCCUCGGAGGCCCCUCCGUUAGCCCUUAGCAGCAGCCCCAGCCACAAAUGAGGCAGGGGAGGAAAUGAGUUUGCAAUGAUGUGUUUUUCAGACGUGGUGAAGCCUGUGCUGGUGGCAGCCACAAGAAGAGCUGUCUGGUGGUUUCCAGGACUGUCUGCACUCAGAGAAAGCUGUAGAGUAUUUCUAAUGUGACGGGAAACAUCCUCCGUUGUUCCUCCUCUAUAUUUGACUGAAAUGAAGCUGCCCGCCUGCGCAGUGGUACCCACCUCUGCUAUUCUGGGCCCUGUGCAAUUUGGAGAGUGACAACUUACCUUAACUAUUGGAGCAUCGACCGCUUCACCAAGUUCUCCCGGGCGUUGCGGUCCCUGCUUCCUGCCACGGCUCCUGAUUCCUGCAUGGAAACCAUCACCGAUACCAAGCGGGUGGAGAGGGCGGCCUUUCAUAGAAUCGUAGCCUUCAGUCCUCUUGCUACCUGCUUGUGCUCUCGGCACCUCUGCUGCCACUCUGGUGGCCUCCAGCAACUGCCACUGUGUUGUACACAACAGAAACAUCGGGGUUCUGUUUCAUAUGUUCUAAACCGCACGCAGGCACCUGAAUAAUUCCCACCUACUCCAUGGCAGGCAGGCUGACCCCCCUGCAGCUGUCAGUGCAGCACGAAGCUGCUUGCAGGAGCUCAGGUGCGCUUUUCAGUACAGCUCACACACCCGAACCUGAGCCUUGCAGAGAAAGGCAGCUAACUCUGAAUGCAUCGCUUUGCACGAAAUGAGCGUCUUCCCUGACAAACCGGUGCUCCUCUUCUUCUGAAGGUGCUUCUAAGGCAGAACUACUGUGCCAUGAUCUCUUCACGCUGUUAGAACCCAGAGAACUGCCCCAAAACCAGAGUCCCCUCACCCCUACCUCCACCUCUCCCUGCAGGGCUGUGCCCCCCUGGCAGGAGUGGUGCUGCUCCUGCAACUCCUCCCAGCUGGGGCCCAGUCUCGUUGCCCUCCCAGUUUGGGAAGGUGAGCUUUGCCCUACAGAACACGUAAUUCGAGGACUGCAAGGACAGCAAACGUAUUUUGGGUAUCUCUGUUUCUACCGAGAGACUGCUUUCCCCCUCCAUUUCCCCUCUUUACCCUAGGGUUGCUACCUCUGUAGAAACUCCAGCUUACCAUGCUGGGGAAAUGUCAAAAACUGGGCAGAAGAAAAACCAAACCAAAAGGUGAAAACCAUUGUGAAUAAUGUUACAAAUGCACACCCAUUUCCAACGCUGAAAUGCUAUUAAAAACCGUGUUCUCAAUCAUCUGCAUUCUCAGUAUGCCCCACCAUGAGAAGGCGAGGACCCAGCAACUUCCUUCUGCCCCAUCUCCAAAGGAACGCUGCCUUGAGUGCAUUCAAAGUUAGCUACCCCUUACACAGCUGCUCAGUAUUAAUCGACCCAUUUAACAGCAGUACCAGCUUAUGCUACAUAUGUCGUAUUACCUUACCUCAAAGGAACGGCGUACGUAUCUACAUUUAUAAAAUACCAUUCACAGUUUAUUACUGUGGUUAUCCCAAAAGGGUUUAGUCUUCGGAGCGCUAUGGACAUAAUAGGGCGUUUUUAUCCCUAAGAGGGCUCACAGCCUAGGCAGGGCACGGGGACAGAGGUGCUGCCAUCAGCAGGGUGCACCUUAGCCCUGGUGGUUCCAUCCAUGACACUUUCGGAGCACAAUCUCAUGGCUUUAUUUUUUUUUUCUGGGGGAGAGAGGAACGGGGAUGCAUCUAUUCACACGGCCUAACGCCUUACAAAUCUACAAAAUUCCUCUUUACCAAGAUUCAAAACUCUCUAAUUAUAAAGUAGCGCUAACUAUUCACACUUCCUAACAGGGAUUAUGUCCUUAGCUUCCUCCUCAGCUCAGCACAGACCUCCCCCCACCAGCUGGGCUCACCACUUCAACCUUCCUCUGUGUUUCAGAAAGUGCCACUGCCAUCAGUCAUACUUCACAGAUCCCAGAGGAUCCCCUGCCUUGUCCCAGCCUACGAACAGAUACCAGCCCUGGCCGUGGGACAAAUGGAGAUGCCUUACCUUCAGCCUUACCUUCCGGUCAUCUCUGUGACAGCAGCGAGCCCCCUCACAGCGUCAGAUACUAAAUCUGAGUGGUGCAGGGUGACCAUGUGCUUCAAUAAAGUGACUCGCGUGUCCCCCUUCAUUCUUGGGCAUUUGAGAGUCGCUUCAAACCACGGAACAUUGUUAUUUAUUCCUGAUUUGAAAACCCCACUUUAAUGGUGGCCACUUCUACCUGCAUAACACUUAGCAAAAGGCCAAAAAUAAAAACGAGGGCAUGUUCUGAGCAGCUGAGGCUGCCCUCGUGGACAGCCGUGCUUCUUUGUGUGUGAGGAAAUGUAGUACUGCAGCCCUCCAGCCCCUGCCUGUGUGCAGCCCUGGCUUGUGGAAGUGGCAUUGGAACCCAAAUCCUGCAUGUGUAACAACAGAUGAGCUGUUCUGUCAGCAGCAGAGAUCUACAAUCCAGAAUAAUGGAAACACUACAAGUGACAGAUCUAGAAAUGAGCAGGUGUACAGUCUUUUUUAUAUUAUUGCAAGUCAAAACAUCUCUUACAAACAAUAGCAGAAGAGAACUCCGGGUGACGCUGCCUGUUCUGAGGUGAUGGUCUUUAAGAGCCCAAGAGGUCACUGAUCACCCGAGGCUUGCUUAGUCCUUGUUAAAGCCUAUUUUCUACAGGUCCCCCUUGAGCUCAAGAGCCUUCAAAAGAGAUGAACACCUACCUGAGCUUGCACCCAGCUCUCGACUGGCAAUAAGCACUGGAUCCCCUCUGCGUGCACGGGCCCCAGCACCAAUUAGACAGCAGCCCUGCACGCGCUAUUUCGGGGCUCCUCCUCACUGUCCCAGAGGACCACACGAAAUGAGCUCAUUGUAUACGGUUCCUGCACUCUGGACUGCAUUUCCACCAAGUGGUGGGAUCCAGGGUCAGUGCAACCAUUUUUUGUUCUGUAGCAGGAGAAACAUCUCUGAGCUGAGCUUAGGGUACCUGGAGCACAUCCAUGUGAUGCUUCCAAUCGCUGCUAUGCACUCAAGACAAGUCGUGAAUACUCCACUGCAUCUAAGCAAACGGUCAUACACGUUUAACUCCUCAGCUAUUUUGCAAAAAAAAACAAAAACAAAAUUAAUAUUUAUUUGAGCAAUCAAUGAGGUGCAGCUUCCACUUCUGUCAGAACUAGCCCUCAGCUCGGCAGGUAACACCUAAGAUGAUCACUGCAAGAGAGAAGGUGAAAACCAGCUCUUGCUCUCCUUCGUUUAGCGUUUUUACCUUAGACAAAGGCUGAUGGAGGUAUCUGCUCUUGAGAAGCAGUGCACUGCUUUUCUUUUGUACAUGAGCAAAAGGAAAACAUCUACCAAGAGGUGUCUGCCCAUGAAAAACCCACGGGAGCUGAUGCUGGUGCGUAUAGAUACCACUGUAGAACCAGAGAAUUAAUCAGAGAUGGAGAAAAUAAUUCUGCCAAUGCUCACCUACAGCUUUGUGCUGACAAAAUGCACUUUGUGUGUGGAUAGCCCUCAGUGCCAGGUGACGGCCUGCCCCAAGGGCUGCCUCCAUCCAAGGAACGCUGCGUUUCCACGCUACCAAGUGCAUCUUACCCACAAACAACGAUUACAGUGAAUAAAUAAUUCAAGCUACGUAAGAAAUGCUAAAGAACACUGUUAUUUACAUUUUGUUUCUUUCUAACACCGGUCCUACUUACUUUAUUACCAGAGGAACAAACAGGUCUCCACCUUCCAUGAGCAGCUGUCUGAUUUUGGAGACGUGCGUCCCUCUCCCCCCAUCGCUUUCAUGUGCCCCUCUCUGAAUUCAUGCACGAGCAGUACAGCCAUUGUUCUUCUCCAUUGGGAGUUACUCUGUUGUAUGACCUGCUCAGGGAUAAACUGACCACCCCUUCCCCCGCUGCUCCAUCUGCCUACAGCACCUAAGCUGCUUACAUGCUUCGGUACUGUCACCAGCAAACCUUCCAGGAGCAGGGUCCCCAGGACGGCAUGUGCCAUCUUCUGUUUCCCAUCACAAUCAGAAUGCUACAGAUGGUGCCGGAAGGAGACACAGUCUUUGAGCUAUGUGACGCUCCCUAAUCACUCAUCUCACCUCAGUGGUGUGCUGGUCAGUUGCUCUGUUCUCAUCUGGCCCAGCAUCUCCCUUCAGUAGCUCUGAAGAGCCCCACGCGGCACCCUGCAGCUGGAGGUGAGCUUGGCUGGCUCAAGCAGGGCUGGGCACACGUGGCACAGGAGCAGGCUGUUGGCAAAACCGUCCCUGGCUCAGCAAUCACACGUUUCCUUUCCACCACCAAGCACCCAGCUCUGAAAACUCCUCCUACCUUUUGUCAGGCUGCCCCCGAGCCACCAGGACUGCAGUCAGUAUUGCAAGCUGUGUUCAUAGGCAGGAUGGUGGAGGAACUAGAUACAAUUUCCAGAGCACUGGUUGUUGCUGGUUUUGUUGCCAGAUUACCCCAAAGAUCUUGACAUUAAUAGUACUGAAGUGCAUAAACUGAAAUACUGCCCUCCACCAGGUAUUACUCUCCCUUUCUAAAAGCCUUAAUGAGACACAGACACCUCUUUACAGGUACCUAAUGCAACCUCAAGAUUUUCAGCGGGAACCAGGCACACAAAUGCUCACACAGGACGUGUUGGCGCACCAGGAACAAGCCAUCAGCAGCACUGCUCCACCCCUCCCAGCUCCAUCUGCUAACGCGUCCUAAACAGCGGCUGAUGGUUCCUUCCCAACAGGAGGAGGGGUGUGCAGGUUUCUACCUAAAAACUGAGGCUAAUGAACGCGGAACCCAGUGCAGGGAGGCCAACUCGUACCUGUUUACAUUUUGGGACUGAAAGCUCUGUGAGUCAUGCGCAUUUUGACUUAGCAAACAUCAUGUACACUGUGUUCUGUGACAGAGUAAUCUUCCUGUUAGAAAAAAGCAUUCCGUACUGUGCUGCACGCCGGAGCAAGGCAUUCUCCUCCUUGGAUCCCUUCCAGGGCUUGCUCUGCUGUCCUUCACGUGGCAGCGGUAAGAGCUGGCUGCUCUGUCACUGUGUUCUCUGAAACAGUCAAUGCAACGCCUCUCCGAACUGGUGGACAUUUUACCAAAGACUUGAUAUGCUUCAUUUUGGCAUUUCCACAGUCAUCCUUUACAUAUAAUUCACUUUUUUUAAUUUAAAAUUAUUAUUUUGUAUUUUGCUGGUCACUUCCAUAUUGCUUCAUUCAAAAUCCAGAAAACAGUUCAAAUAAAA